GGGUCGAUGGCGUAGUUGGUUAUCGCAUCUGUCUAACAUACUCUUAUGUUCCACAGAAGGCCCCCAGUUCGAACCUGGGUCGACUCA